AAAGGUAAGCUACUAAGAGCGAAUGGUGGAUGCCUUGACUGGUAAAGGCGAUGAAGGACGUACUAGACUGCGAUAAGCUACGGGGAGCUGUCAAGAAGCUUUGAUCCGUAGAUUUCCGAAUGGGGCAACCCAAUGUAUAGAGAUAUACAUUACCUAUAUAGGAGCGAACGAGGGGAAUUGAAACAUCUUAGUACCCUCAGGAAAAGAAAUCAAUAGAGAUUGCGUCAGUAGCGGCGAGCGAAAGCGCAAGAGGGCAAACCCAGUGCUUGCACUGGGGGUUGUAGGACUGCAAUGUGCAAGAGCUGAGUUUAGCAGAACAUUCUGGAAAGUAUAGCCAUAGAGGGUGAUAGUCCCGUAUGCGAAAAACAAAGCUUAGCUAGCAGUAUCCUGAGUAGGGCGGGACACGAGGAAUCCUGUCUGAAUCCGG
rnacentral:rRNA from 1 species